rnacentral:pre_miRNA from 1 species
AAUAAAUACAAUUUUAAUACGGUUCAUGCUCAACGUUUCAUCGUCUUAUUUAAAAAAUAAUUAUGAUUAGUAUUAUUAUUAGAUGAUAAUGCAUGAAUAGUACUUUAUGUGUGACUAAUAUUUUUAAUUUUUUUCAUAAAAUUUUUAAAUAAGACGGACGGUCCAAAAUGCUGAAUAUAUAUCUAUGGCUGUAUUUAUU